UCCGAUAUAGUAUAAUGGUUAGUAUAACCGCCUCUCAGAAGGCCUGUGCAUCAUACGGUGCGCGGUAGAUCGGGGUUCGAUUCCCCGUGUCGGAA